rnacentral:rRNA from 1 species
AUGGUUCUUAGAGCGUUGAUUAGUCCAGCUUUAGUGCAAUGGAGCUUCCUGGUAUGCGGCAGCCUGGGCUUUGUGCUUCUCUGGCAAGCUGCCAAGCUAAUAGACCGGCUGUGGUGGCACCCGCGGCGGCUGGAGCGGGCACUGCGCGCCGAGGGUCUCCGCGGCACCUCGUACCGCUUCCUCGUCGGCGACGUCAUUGACUAUGAGCGGCGGAGCAAGGAGGCGCGUUCAAGGUCGAUGCCGCUGCGCUGCCACAACAUAGCCCCUCUCGUCGCGCCGCUGCUCCACGACAUUGUCCGGGAGCACGGCAAGGCGUGCAUAUGUUGGUUUGGUCCGUACCCCAAGGUGACCAUCAGCGACCCUGAGCAGACCAAGGAGGUGAUGUCCAACAAGUUCGGCCACUUCGAGAAGCUCAAGUUUCCGGCGCUGUCCAGGCUGCUCGCCGGAGGCGUGGCGACGUACGAGGGCGAGCAAUGGGUCAAGCACAGGAGGAUCCUCAACCCUGCAUUCCAUCUCGAGAAGCUUAAGCUCAUGAUGCCAGCGUUUUCUACUUGCUGCCAAGAACUUGUGAGCAGAUGGACGCAAUCUCUUGGUUCUGAUGGUACAUAUGAGGUGGAUGUAUGUCCGGAGUUCCAGAGACUCACUGGAGAUGUCAUUUCUCGCACCGCAUUUGGCAGUAACUACGCUGAAGGUGCCAGGAUAUUCCAGUUGCAGUCCGAGCAAACUGCACGCAUCCUGGCCAGGGUUAAGAAGAUUAUCAUUCCCGGCUACUUGUCCUUGCCAACCAGAAACAAUAGAAGGAUGAGUGAAAUUAAUAACGAAAUUGAAUCAAUUCUGCUCAAUCUAAUCGGAGAAAGAAUGCAAGCUAUGCAAGAAGGAGAAAAUACCAAAAAUGACUUGCUCGGUUUGAUGCUUGAGUCCAACAUGAGGGGCACAGAUGAGAAUGGCCAAUGCAUCUCAGGAAUGACUAUUGAUGAGGUCGUGGAGGAAUGCAAGUUGUUCUAUUUUGCAGGAACAGAAACAACAUCAAUAUUACUCACAUGGACAAUGGUCAUACUAAGUAUGCACCCCGAGUGGCAAGAUCGUGCAAGGGAGGAGGUCCUCGGCCUAUUUGGAAAGAAUAAAAUUGAGUACGAAGGCUUUGGCCGGCUAAAAACGGUGACCAUGAUUCUUUAUGAGGUGCUCCGAUUAUACCCACCGGCUGUCGCUUUCAUCCGAAAAACAUACAACGAAAUGGAGAUUGGAGGUAUCACAUACCCUGCUGGUGUGCUCAUCGAGCUUCCUGUGUUGUUAAUGCACCAUGACCUAGACAUAUGGGGAAGCGACGUGCAUGAGUUCAAACCGGAGAGGUUUGCCGACGGGAUAUCCAAGGCAUCCAAGAAUCCAUGUGCGUUCCUACCAUUUGGUUGGGGGCCACGUAUUUGCAUUGGCCAACAGUUUGCAAUGCUUGAGGCCAAGAUUUCCUUGUGCAUGAUCCUUCAAUGCUUUGAGUUCGAGCUUGCGCCGUCAUACACUCAUGCUCUAGAUAACACGAAAAUGCUACUUCCUAUGCAUGGUGCGCAAAUUAAGCUCAGGGUAAUUUAA